CCAAAGGCUCUUUUAAGAGCCACCCACUAUUUCCGAACUGAGCUG
rnacentral:ncRNA from 1 species